AGUGAACGCUGGCGGUAGGCCUAACACAUGCAAGUCGAACGGCAGCACAGUAAGAGCUUGCUCUUACGGGUGGCGAGUGGCGGACGGGUGAGGAAUACAUCGGAAUCUACUUUUUCGUGGGGGAUAACGUAGGGAAACUUACGCUAAUACCGCAUACGACCUACGGGUGAAAGCAGGGGAUCUUCGGACCUUGCGCGAUUGAAUGAGCCGAUGUCGGAUUAGCUAGUUGGCGGGGUAAAGGCCCACCAAGGCGACGAUCCGUAGCUGGUCUGAGAGGAUGAUCAGCCACACUGGAACUGAGACACGGUCCAGACUCCUACGGGAGGCAGCAGUGGGGAAUAUUGGACAAUGGGCGCAAGCCUGAUCCAGCCAUACCGCGUGGGUGAAGAAGGCCUGCGGGUUGUAAAGCCCUUUUGUUGGGAAAGAAAAGCAGCAGGUUAAUACCCCGCUGUUCUGACGGUACCCAAAGAAUAAGCACCGGCUAACUUCGUG
rnacentral:rRNA from 1 species